rnacentral:rRNA from 1 species
GACGAACGCUGGCGGCGUGCUUAACACAUGCAAGUCGAACGGAAAGGCCCUGCUUUUGUGGGGUGCUCGAGUGGCGAACGGGUGAGUAACACGUGAGUAACCUGCCCUUGACUUUGGGAUAACUUCAGGAAACUGGGGCUAAUACCGGAUAGGAGCUCCUGCUGCAUGGUGGGGGUUGGAAAGUUUCGGCGGUUGGGGAUGGACUAGCGGCUUAUCAGCUUGUUGGUGGGGUAGUGGCUUACCAAGGCUUUGACGGGUAGCCGGCCUGAGAGGGUGACCGGCCACAUGGGGACUGAGAUACGGCCCAGACUCCUACGGGAGGCAGCAGGGGGGAAUAUUGCACAAUGGGCGGAAGCCUGAUGCAGCAACGCCGCGUGCGGGAUGACGGCCUUCGGGGGGUAAACCGCUUUCGCCUUAGACGAAGCGGGAGUGACGGUAAUGGGUAAAGAAGCACCGGCUAACUACGUG